AUGGAACUUUUGUUUUCCUCUCACGGCAAGCAUAAAUGCGAAUCAAUAUUUUCAAAAAAACGUGAAAAUAGGGAAACAGUCGUUAUUUUUGAUUCCACAUUUCGUGCAUACUGUGAAACGUUGUGUGAUCGCAAUCUAAAACUUUUAUCUGGAAAUGAAAAAGAAAAAAAAUUGUUGGUUUUAAACCAUACCAAAUCAUCGAGUCAUCAAUUUGACAACAGUGUCAUUUAUAUAGAUGAAACGUUGUAUGAGUUAUCACCGCUUCAAUGUCAUAAAAUGUUGAAUGCAUGGACUUUGCAUGAAACAAGUAUAUCCGAAUCUCUUUCCACCACUUUUUUUUUUUCCAAAUUUUUAAAAUAUUUAUUUCAAAGCCUUCAUGAAAAUUGUCUUUUUGUACUUUUUUCUCAUCAUUAUUCUGUGUCGUUCCCGCACGACAUAAGAAGCUAUAUAAGUUCACUUAAUAUAAAUCUCACCCAAGUUAGAAAAAAAAACGACUGUUCGUCUUGUCACUUCCUAAAUGUAUGCUGCUCUUUCCUUUUUUCUCCGAUAUCUUGGUACCAAAGUAGAACGAUUUUGAAAAAUAUAGAAGACGAGAUAGACACAAAUUUUGAUUUGAAACAAGUCAAAACAAUGCAGUUAAUAUUUUAUAGGAAACAUUAUUCUUUUGGGCAAAAACAAAAAAGACAAACUUCACAAAACCGUAUCAAGAAACUGGAGCAAACAAGGGAUUCGAUUAGAGAAUAUUUUCAACAUCAAAUAAGCGAGUGUUCUUCUAAUUCGUUUGUAGUCCUGAAAAGUCUUAAGACACUUCACUCUAUGGAUACACAAGAAAGUUACUAUGAAGAAUUAAAUGGAACAUAUACUAAUUUGGAAAGAACACCUCACUGUCAAAAAAUGUUUCUUGUUCCAAAAACUACUGCUUCACCAUCACCCUGCAUUGUCGAACCACACAAAAGUGAACAUAUAGCGAAUUCGGUGGUACAGUUGCCUUCUAGAAAAGACCAAGUAUUAAAACUUAAAUGCUCUUAUUCAAAAAAACUACCCUUGACGAGACGAAAAAGCGAAAAACGGUUUACCAUUUACCUUUUCUUAAAGCAGUCAUGUAGUGUUUCUACGUCGCAAACGCAUUUGUUUAAAAAAUUGAUUCUUCCGUUAAUGAAAUGUGCUUUAGUUACCGGUUCUGAUAUUUUCUUGAAAAAACAAAAACAUUUAAAUCAAUUUGUUUUUUUGAAACACUUGAUUUUUUUUUCAAAGUUACUGCAAAUACGGAUUUCAUCAAAAAGAAACCAAAAUUGUUCUUCUCUCUUUUUGUCAAGAGUGUUGUCAAAUCUCCUCUCUUGUGCUUUCUUAAACUCUCACUUCUUUCGUUUCAAACAACUGUCUUUAAAGUCUUAUUUAAAAUUAUUUAUAAACUUAAUUUGGACAAAUCGGGUUUCGCUAAGCAGUCCAAGGAUAGAUUCAAAACGACUAGAAGCAUUCGCUUUAAAACAUUAUCAUUCUCUUCAUAAACGGAUGGAUAAAAUGCGUGAGUUAUCCAAUUACUUUGUGAGACGUGUUGAGAAUUUGUGUAACUUGAAAUCAUUUGAGAUAUUCGAAAAAUUACUACGGCGUUGUGACCAUACAAAUAGUUAUUUUACGCUGUAAGCGAGUCGUCAACUUACUAAGAUCCAUACAUCUAUUUCGUUGUUUUUUUCUCGUGUUGGUUCAACAUACAGAGACAACGGCACAGGAUGUGUUGCCCAAUUAAUACAAGGUUGGCACGCCCGGCAUCCACAUUAGAGAGGCUAGAAGAGAUAUCGGACGACUAUGAGAGUGUUGAUUCAUUCACUUCGUUUAACGAUUACAAGUCGGUCCAAUCGCUUGGCAGUUAUCAUAGUUGUAGUAGUCGUUCUAGUACUCGUUCAUUUUCUCCAACUUUAGUAUCUAUGUAAAGUAUCGCUAUUAAAAACAUUUUUUUAAACUAGUAUAACGGAAUUUUUUUUUUUUUUGAAAAAAAAAAAAAAGAUUAAAAUAAACUAAUAUAAUCUUUUUCAUUUUUCAAUCAUAAAAUAUUUGAAGCGGAAAUAACUAAUAAAUCUACGCUAUUCACAAAUAUUAAAAUACUUGGCAUGAAAAAUAUACAUAGGUUAAAUUGAAACCUAAAAAAAAAACCA